UACGAAGGAUGCGAGCGUUAUCCGGAUUUAUUGGGUUUAAAGGGUGCGUAGGCGGUCUUUUAAGUCAGUGGUGAAAUCUUGUCGCUUAACGACACACGUGCCAUUGAUACUGUAGGACUUGAGUACAGAUGCCGUUGGCGGAAUGUGUCAUGUAGCGGUGAAAUGCAUAGAUAUGACACAGAACACCGAUGGCGAAGGCAGCUGACGAAACUGGAACUGACGCUGAUGCACGAAAGCGUGGGGAUCAAACAGG
rnacentral:rRNA from 1 species